AAAUAUUUCAAUAUUUUUAUUCCGAUAUUUUCUCUCCUUUCUCUCUCUCUCUUUUUUUUACAGAAUCUAUCUUUAUUUGGGUAUAUGUACAAAUAAUUUCUUACAAAAAUAUAAGUAAUGCAUGUCUCAUAAUACUGUCCAUAUCAUCUAAAUCUCAUACAAUUGGCACUUACACUUUUGUUUUGAAGUUGAGAUAUUUCUGAACUAAAUUUGCGGUAAUCGUCACGCCUAAACUUCGGAGCAACCCUCAAAAGAAAGUAUAAUCUAAGCAAGAGAAAAUGACUAUUUUUUCAUUCAGAUAUCCUAACACGGAGAUCUCCAUGCAUAACGAAUAUGCACUCACAGUUAAUCAUACCGACGGGGAUAUUGGUAAAAAUAACCUUCACAAAAAUAUCUCAACCAUUGAAAUCCAAAGACAACAUAAUAAAUCAACUUGAACGUUUAUGUCUGAGCCCCGUGCUCUCAAAGUAACUUUCCUUUUAAGCCAAUCCAAAUCAUGGAAAGUUUUAAAUGGAUUCUUGGAAGAUUUUCAUACCAAAAAAAAUCUGUUCAGUUCAAGAUUGCUAGCAAAACAAAUUCUCUGACAAUGUCAGAUAUUUGGCCGAAUAUGUAUUGAGAUAAAGUCGAUGCCAGAAGAAUACAACAGGACCAACUUAUGAAAUGAAUAAUGUAUACUUGCUAAUCACUGAAAACCCUGUUUAUACACUUUUAAUAAACCCCUUGGGGAAGAUACCCGUGGUUCUCUGUUCUAAACCCACAAAGAGGUAACAUGAACAGGUCAACUAAGACCUGGAGCUCUUGUUACAUUUCAGUCACUUGACCACUGAAAAUUGUCAGUACACUGCCAUGAUAAUCCAAUAUAUCUAUGAAGUUUCAAGAGACAAAUAAUUACCUUGUAGAUUUAGAAAUAUCAUUUGCUUAAUAAAUUUCACAGAAUUACAUUUUAUCUGCUAUAUUUCAAGAGAUGCCAUUUUCAUCUGUAAAAAAAAUCAGGAGAUAAAGUUUAAUCUGGCAAAUUCAAAACUAAAUACCUUAUCUGUUAAAUGUAUCAAGGUAUAAUAACAAAAAUAUAAAUUUAUUUGAUAAAAAAAUUAAACUUUAUCUGUUAAACUUCAAAGAUAUAUUUGAAUUUGUUGAAUACAAGUACUACUAAAAGGUAUAAAUAUUUUUUUUAAGAUUGGAGAUUAUAUAGUUUCCUGUCAAUUUAUCGGAUUUAGUUAUAUGUCUCUUUAAUUUUCCAGAAAUAACAUAUAAAAUGCAUAAAUCUGUCAAAUUCCAAAUAUCAUUUAACAAUCAAAAUAUCCAGAGAUAGUCAUUUGUCAAGGAUAAUAUUUCACCUAUCAAAGCAUGAGAGCUAUCAAGUGAUAAUGAUUUAGCUGUAAAUUUUCAAGGGUACUAAAUUCAUAGUGGGAAAAAAUGUAAUAUUGGUUUGAGGUGCAUAGGUAUAUAUCCUCAGAAUUAAUAAAUGGAAAGAAAAAAAUACAUAACAUACAGAGUAUAAUUUCAUUUUCAGAUAGAAAAAGAGUAAGUCCCUGAAUAAUGUUCAACUAAAGAGUUCAUUUGGCAACUAUUUGUUUUAUUUUAGACACAUUCCUUUCCGACCAUAGCACCAUGAAUAUAAAGGGAGUCUAAAUGACAUCACUGCAUUUACAUUAAUUUGUAGAAAUGGAUGACAAAACAUAGCAUAUUAUUAUACUUCCAUGAAUACACUGCAUGCACAAACAGGUAAGUGAGAAAGAGAAGAUGUGCUUUAAUGCUGAUAUUGAUUGACAACGGUAAACAAUGUGUUUCAAAAUUGAGAAGAGGUAUUGAUAUUUGGCCAGGAUUAUAGAGUAUUUGUGGUGGUGUUAAGUAGAGAAACUAACUUCAUAAUGUAUACGAGAUAAAUUGUUUAUAUAUAACCAAGAAAGAAUAAGACCUGUCCAGAUAUGUCAAUGUCUUGACACAAAAUUUUGAAUGAAUAUCCUCUAGAAAAAAAACAUUUUCAUGAAAACUCAGCAUGUGACAUUAAAAUAUGACAGAAGAAUUGUCUUCAUUUUCAAAGCUUAUCUGAGAUAUGUCCAUAUGAUAACAAGGAUAAUAAUAACUGGAUUCAUAAAACGCCAAUUCAAGGAUACAAUGGACAGCUGGAUCUGUAUCGUUGAGUCAGUAAAAUACCAGGAUUGGUACAACACGCUAGCUAUUAUUAUCGCAUACAUUCGUAAUUUCGAAGCUUCGUUAUUCCGAAGUGUAACCAUUAUUAUUAGUAUUAUUUUUACCCGGGCUUGAGCUUGAGCUGCUGCUUCCCAACUCAAUGCAUUGAUAAUAUCAAUCCUGUAAGGUACCCAUUCACCUCUCCUGGGUUGAGUGCAGCACAAUAUGGAUAAUUUUCCAUAUGGGAUAUACAACUUAGAAAAUGCCAAUUACAU